UCAAUGUCUUCUUAUAUACUCCAAGGUAUGAUCCCUGAUGCCAUUCAUCUAGAAGAAAAUUAACCAAUCCAAUCUUUCAUCAUUCCCCCUUCCACCCCAAUUUUCAAAUCUCCUUUUAUUCCAGGUUUCUAGAUGGCCUACACAUAUGUGCAUGUGUAUCCACGAUAGUUUGAAGGAGGGGCGCCGUUCAUAUUUGAGGGCGCACAUGCCAGAAGUUUAACGCAAAUACAUGCCGGUGGCUUGACCAUCUCCUCCUCUGUUUGAUUUUGGUCUGACAGGCCAUGGUGACGAGUUGGUCGAUCUAUGCUGCUAACUUAAUGGCGUUGAUGGCUGUGUGCAUCUUAAUAGUCCCAGUGGUGGCAGCAUGUAGAGGUGUAAACAUAGGAGCAAAUUAAUAAUCAUCCAUAUACAUGGGCAACAAAUUGAUAGCAGCAACUAGCAGGUCUGAACCUGCUCUCCCUAGCCAUGGUUCCCAAUGGUGUCAGAGCUUAAGAAAGAUUGAUCCCUUUGUGGAAAGUUACGGUGGACGAAGUGGUCCAGAAAAAAUCUUCAAGCAUGCAUUUAAUAUCAACGAUAUGGUGGUUGGCGUCUUCCAUCGUGCAGCCUGCGUAUCUAUUGUUUCAUGUACACUGUGCAAACAAGAGAAAUCUCCUCUAUAUCAAGUUAUUGGUAGGCUCGCCUGUGUGUUCUUUGGUGAUUAGGAAAAAGAAGUAUCGAGAAGCUCAUGGCGACCAUCUGCUGAUUCCUCACGGCUGCCUACAUCUGUCUACUGGAUUGGACGCAAAAUUGCAAUAUGAGACACUCAACAAUGCAUCAAUUAAUGUUUUUCCUGGAUCACCCCUUCCAGGCUUUUGAUUUGAGAUAAAAAUGCAACAUUCGUUUUCCCUACUAUGUUUGAUUCCAUUGUUUAAUCUACCAUGCAUAUAUGCUAAGAAAAUCUAUGUGUGCCAACAUAGUAUAG